CCUACGGGGGACAGCAGUGAGGAAUAUUGGUCAAUGGGCGGAAGCCUGAACCAGCCAAGUCGCGUGAGGGAUUAAGGCCCUAUGGGUCGUAAACCUCUUUUGUCAGGGAGCAAGGUCGUCCACGUGUGGGCGUAUGGAGAGUACCCGAAGAAAAAGCAUCGGCUAACUCCGUGCCAGCAGCCGCGGUAAUACGGAGGAUGCGAGCGUUAUCCGGAUUUAUUGGGUUUAAAGGGUGCGCAGGCGGAUUUUUAAGUCAGCGGUCAAAUCGUGGGGCUCAACCCCAUCCAGCCGUUGAAACUGGGGAUCUAGAGUGUGCGAGAGGUAUGCGGAAUGCGUGGUGUAGCGGUGAAAUGCAUAGAUAUCACGCAGAACCCCGAUUGCGAAGGCAGCAUACCGGUGCACAACUGACGCUCAGGCACGAAAGCGUGGGUAUCGAACAGGAUUAGAUACCCUAGUAGUC
rnacentral:rRNA from 1 species